rnacentral:rRNA from 1 species
GAUGAACGCUGGCGGCGUGCCUAAUACAUGCAAGUCGAGCGAACGGACGAGAAGCUUGCUUCUCUGAUGUUAGCGGCGGACGGGUGAGUAACACGUGGAUAACCUACCUAUAAGACUGGGAUAACUUCGGGAAACCGGAGCUAAUACCGGAUAAUAUUUUGAACCGCAUGGUUCAAAAGUGAAAGACGGUCUUGCUGUCACUUAUAGAUGGAUCCGCGCUGCAUUAGCUAGUUGGUAAGGUAACGGCUUACCAAGGCAACGAUGCAUAGCCGACCUGAGAGGGGGAUCGGCCAAACUGGAACUGAGACACGGUCCAGACUCCUACGGGAGGCAGCAGUAGGGAAUCUUCCGCAAUGGGCGAAAGCCUGACGGAGCAACGCCGCGUGAGUGAUGAAGGUCUUCGGAUCGUAAAACUCUGUUAUUAGGGAAGAACAUAUGUGUAAGUAACUGUGCACAUCUUGACGGUACCUAAUCAGAAAGCCACGGCUAACUACGUG